ACUGCAGCCGCCCAGGCGGGGGGCGGGGAAUGAGUCGCUGGGGGCUUGAGGGGAGUGGUCAAUGUUAAGUGGCUGGCCCCUAGCAGGUGCCUGGAGGAGAGCCUAGUGCAGGAAGUAGCCCCCUGGGGGAGAAGCUGGUGGGCUGGGAAAGGACAAAUGGAAAACAGAAUUAGGGGCCAAUCUCUGAGGCAAGGUGAUGGGGAGACACAGAAGGUGGGGCAGUCCGGUUGGGGGAAGAAAUUGGGGCUGGAGAGUGGGAGAGGUUGAAGUGAGUUGUGGAUCACAGAGGAAUAGGGGCUGUGUAUUGUGCGUGAGGGUAUGGGGGGUUUCUCUGGAGUGGGGCGGGGGGAGAUGCAGCAGGGUCAGGAAGAGAUUUUGGGGUGGGAAGAAAGCCUGCUGAGUGGAAAGGGGAAAAGGGAAAUUUGAGAUCAAGCCAUCCCAGACCAGAGCCAUCUUCCUUGUCCAGCUCUGAACUCCCUCUCUCUGCCUCAUUUCUUUAACCCCGGGUCAGAGCAUGCUGCUCCCUUUGCUCAUGAUUUCUCCUUUCCUGGUGCAGCGGAGUUCACACUAGCUGGUGUUCUGGUAGAUGGAAAGGUUGCCUCUCCUGGGCUUCCCUCAUCUUAGCCGGGUUCCCCCCUUCUUCACGUUUUGCCCUUCCUAGGUAGUUGGGAGUCUAGUUCCUAGGUAAUGCCAGCCAUAGCUGAGGGCCAGGGGAGCAGGUGGCUGUGCAAAGCCACUUCCAGCCUGUGGACAAAGGGCUGAGACACGGAAAAUCUACCAGUGCCCAUUCCGGCUUAGGCCUGGCUGGGGCAGCCUUGGGUCAAGUCCUCUCUGUAGUCCCGGUUUCCACCAACAUCAGGAAGGGGAGCCGCAAGAACAUCUAGGCAGGCGCCCGGGGACUGUGUCAGGAUGGAGAGUUCAAUCCCCAGCCCUGAAGAUGGGACUUAGCAAUGCCCUUCCAAAGAAGAGAGAAAGGGAAAAGUACAACUCUCAACGAAGAUCAACCUGGCAAACAUGGCCUUAACUAGCGCUGAAGGUUAACAUCAGGGACAGGGUGUCACCAGGACAUCGUGGAUAGCACGUGCCCCUCAUAUAACAUGGGAGGGCCAUUUCACCUCUGUAGCAUACUUUCUGAAAGCCCAUGACCCCGGAGUGGGGGAGAGUCUGUAGGAUACUUGGCCAAUACACCGCACGACUGUCAAAAUCAUGGAAAACAAGGACCAAAAGCUAUCACCUGAGGUAACUGGGGAGACAUGUGAUAUGUGCCAAUGUCAGCGUCUUCAUUUCGACAAAGGAAGACCUGGGUUUAAGCCCUGCCUCCAUCAAUCUCAAGAUGUGGGACCUCAGGGAAGGGAGGAGAGGUACCACCAAGGAUAUGCACGGAAGCCGCCAUCACCCGAGUUCCUCAUCUGUCAGCCAGAAGCCAAGCCAGCCUGGGAAAGAAGCAUCUCUCAGCCAGGAUCCCUGACAAGAACACGCCUGCUCCGUGGGGAAGUCUUAGGUACUAUGCACUUGGCCUUCACCACAAAAGCCCCGCGGCCCAGGGAACGAUCUUCAGCACAUGGGUAACCACUUUAAGUGAAUUUACGUAGGAUAACAGGUACGGCCCCCAAAGGCUUCACCAAGACUAGAAAUGAAUAUAAUGACAAGAAUGAAAAUAGAGUAAAUUCUAUUUUUGUUAAAUGUGUACAUAUUUCUAGAUGUGAACACACGGCAGGAAAAGUCUUUUAAAAUGCUGAACUGCUAAAACCCAUUAUUUUGCGGGGGUAGAAUUUUGCUUGACUUAAAGAAUUUUUUAUCCUGGUUUUUCUGGAUUUUCUCAUUUUCCCACCAUCAAUAUACUCUAUUCUGCCUUUUUUUUUUUAAUAAAGGAAAAUAAAGAAUGUUGAGGAAGUAAUGAAGGGAAUCUCUACUCUGAACUUAAAUCUGAUAUAAGAGAAAUAGAAGUAAAAUGGAAAUCCUGAGAAUUUGGGGACAGAAUCUAUGCCAUCUUGUAGCUCAUCAAUCAUCAGGCAGUGAGACUUGCAUCCGAAACCUUUGGAAGGUAGCUUUAGGGAAGUACAGAAAACAAGGUUAUUAUUUCAGAGAAAUAAACUGUGUGAGAAGCCGAAGGGCAGCUCUAGACAAAAUCGUAUAGGGAAGAUCCUGAAAUAUGACAGACACUGAUCCUUGGCAAAUCCGAGAACGCAUGAGCAAACAGCACACUACAAUUCCUGGAGGAAACAGUGACCGUAAGGAAUAAGUACGGGGCUGUGAAAGUGGAGUCAUGCUGUGUCUUGGGGUUUUGCGUAUGGGGUUUCACGUGGAUGUCAAGGGGAAGGUACAGACUGUGGUCUUUAUUUCAACAAGGCAUCUGAAUGAAAUCUUCAUAAUAUUCUUAAAAGAACGUGAAGGGACAAAACUGCAGGCAGGAUGGUCUCAUCUGGGGGCUAAGCCCGAUGUGCCUCCCCCUAAAAGGGCUGAGAUCGGUGCAUGCUGAGGGACCUGCCGCUGCCAGGGCAGCCAGGGCGUCUCAAGACUGUGGAGGGCAUCCCAGGGUGAGGGUCUGCAGCUUCUCCUUGGAGCCGCGUGCUUUUUCUGCCAGAAUGUUUUCUUCUUGUGUUAUCACCUUGAUGGGCAUCUUUUAAAAACGAACAUCCGCUGGGUGACUGCUCUUUACCAAGCUUUGUGUGUUUUGGGGCCGGUGUGUGUGUGUGUGUGUGUGUGUGUGUGUGUGUGUGUAUUUACAACUGUACUGGUGCCAAGUGGCACCACUGACUGCGUGGGCUAAUUAAGACAACUUAAUUCUGCAUGUUUAACUCAUGCUAUAUUUGUGCAAAGUGAGGGAUGAUGGCUCUCAAGAAGCGUGGCAGGGGUGUGCCGCUUGGCACGGGACACUGCAGGGUAGGUGUGCGAGAAACUCAAGCAGCCUGUGUCAAGUCAGCCGUGCUGAUGCUGACAACAGUGAUCCGGAUUCAUUCAAAUGUCACCCGCCCAGAAUGGGGCUGUUGCUGGGACUUUUCCUGGCUUAUCUGGUAGUUCUUUAAUUUUAUAGCAGCUGGGUCAAGGAGCUGAUAAACAGAUUUGCGUGCAUAAUUAAGUAAAGUUGCAGCAUUAUAAUGGAAACGAUCUAAGUUGACUCAAAAAUAGUUUUCCUUUAGAGCCAUGGCGUUCCAACCAUUUAGACCACGAACCACACUUAUAAAAACAGUUUACGUGAGGACCCAGUGUGUGCACACCCACAUGCUUCCCUGUCCCGGGCUCACGCGGUGAGUCUCCUGAAAUACAAUCUGCUCUUACUAUGUGUGAUGGGCUUCGGUAUUUUUCUACUCUACUUCGUUUUUUUAAAUGCUGGUAGUGACUCACUCAAUUGGUUCUGUGCCCUAGAGAAUGGAAAAUGUGGCUUUAGAGUAGCCGAUCCACUACCCAAGCUUGGAAAACCAGGCGAAGACCAAGCAAAGUUCAACUCGCAGAUGUCAUAAAACAGAGAAGGAUGAUAGUAAGAACACUGGCUGUCCGCGUCCUUACCCUGGACUCAAAUCAGUUUGGAGAUGGGGCUGGGAUCAGAGCGAUUCUUCAGUUAGGAAGUUAAAGCAGCAUUUACUGAAGCAAGCGGCCAGAACUGCUGGGGCUGACAUUGCACCUUUUCUGUUGGUUUCAUUUUCCUCCCCAGCCGGCUCCUGAAAGAACCCUCUUGCUCUCAAACCAAUGUGUAAUUAUAUCCGGGGAUUAACCAUGAAAGGGAAAAAAGCAGCAUUUCCAGUUGGGUGUUUGAAAAUGAAAAGUGGUUCCGAAGGAGCGCAGAUAGUUUACAUCCGGUCACCGAAACCUACAUUUAGCAAUACGGUUUGCACCUGGCUUUUGGAAAUCAGCAGUCCCCCCCACGGAGCAUCAGCUAACAGGCUGGGAACUCUUUGUCAACAAGUUCUUAAACGGCCCACAAUUAGGCUAAGAGCUUGCAUUAUUUAGCUGGUGCUCAAAGACUCAACUAAAAACAUUAAACGGAGGUUUCUGCCCACUCUGCAAUCUAAGGCGAGAAGUCAUCCGUCCUAGGGGGUGCUCUCGUGUCUUGACACCAUCUCUCCAUUGGUGCACAUCGGGAAGCAGGUUGGGUUCUAUGCCCAGGAGUGCCCAUGUGGUUGGCGCCGUCUGCAUUUCAAGCAUUCCCUUGCCUCUCUCUGCACUCGGAAGGGCCCUGAUCGCUGGUGGGCACCCGGAGUCAGAGUGCAGAAGGGUCCCCCCAACACACGGUAAGGACUACGAGCGUCCGCCACCUCCUCGGGGCGGACCCAGGCUACGUCCACGGGCCGGGCAGCACUCGAGGAGGGUCGGCAACCGGGCGGAGGGGAUGGCAGGCCCGCCCGAUUGCCCGCACCUCUCGCCAGCCCCCGGAAGCGCCACCCUCCCGCCCAGCGGGCUCCGAGGGGGCGGGGAGUCGAACGCCCCCUUCCGGGUGCCUCCGCCCGGCUGGCCAGCCCCGCUCCUCCUCCGGGCGGGAAUCCUCCCUCCCCCGCCCCUCCCGGAGCCGGGCCCCGGCGCCAGGCCCGGCCCCAGGGGGGAACCCCCAGCCCCGGCUCCCCGUCCCUGCGGCCUCUGCCCGUCUUCCCGACCCUUGGGGGCCGGGAAGACCCCGC